UUACUGUUUAGUAAUGGUGAUGGCGGAUCUCGAUGUAGAAGAAGAAGUCGCGGUAACAGAAACUCAGCUAGAGAAGCUUAUGAAAUGGGAACGUAGGAAGGAUUUUCGAUCUCUUUCCGAUCCACCAUCGGUCGUUUGCUCUAUGUUCGAGAUCCGAGAUAAUACACUCCACAAAUCUUCCGGCGAGUUCGCGGUAUUUCCUCCGGUAAACCACGAGAACCUUUACAUAUCCGUGAAUUCUGUUCAGAAAACUCAUAGCCAGUCAUCGUCACCGCCGUUUCCCUCAUCCCCGUCGGUGUCGUCGUUAUCAUCAUCCUCAUUUUCACCUUCUCAUAGAGAUAACGAUGAUUCGUCCUAUUCAUUCGCAGCCUCAGAUUCCAAUGUAGUGGAUCCACUGAAAUCUGUACCAGAUAGUCCUCGGCCCCCAGCCAGAGCAGCUUGUAACGGAGGAAGAUGGUGGAAUUUGGGACUGCAAGUGUUGUUCUCUAGAAGUAGCAUUUUAAACCGGGGUUUCACUUCAGCUCGAAGGGCUGUAACGAUUGUUCUCUCGCCGUUUGGUAUGGCGGCAAUACUUGUGAUGUUUGCGUAUUUUCGUAGGCGACGAAGAUUGAUUAGAGCACAGAAUGGGGAAGAGCUGAGACGCACCAUUAGAGCGAAAGAUGAGAGAAUAAAUCAACUUCUAAGUCAAAUAGCAGAGAUGAAUCAGGUAUUUGUGGCUAUGCACAAACGUAAUCUGUCCAAGAAUUAGCUGAAAUUAGUAUGUAUCAAUAUUAUGCAGUGUAGGGAUAAUGGUCAAUACGCGCACAUUCAUCAUGCUGAAUGUCGAUGCUCUAAGUCCAUUAACGUACUGUGUAUGCAUGUAGUUUGAAACUCAAUUCUU
rnacentral:misc_RNA from 1 species